rnacentral:rRNA from 1 species
AACGAACGCUGGCGGCAUGCCUAACACAUGCAAGUCGAACGAAGCCUUCGGGCUUAGUGGCGCACGGGUGCGUAACGCGUGGGAACCUGCCUUUUGGUUCGGAAUAACAGUUAGAAAUGACUGCUAAUACCGGAUAAUGUCUUCGGACCAAAGAUUUAUCGCCAUUAGAGGGGCCCGCGUAGGAUUAGCUAGUUGGUGGGGUAAAGGCUCACCAAGGCGACGAUCCUUAGCUGGUCUUAGAGGAUGAUCAGCCACACUGGGACUGAGACACGGCCCAGACUCCUACGGGAGGCAGCAGUGGGGAAUAUUGGACAAUGGGCGAAAGCCUGAUCCAGCAAUGCCGCGUGAGUGAUGAAGGCCUUAGGGUUGUAAAGCUCUUUUACUGGGGAUGAUAAUGACAGUACCCAGAGAAUAAGCCCCGGCUAACUCCGUGCCAGCCGCCGCGGUAACAC